rnacentral:rRNA from 1 species
UACGGAGGGUGCAAGCGUUAUCCGGAUUUACUGGGCUUAAAGGGUGCGUAGGCGGCCCUGUAAGUCAGUGCUGAAAUAUCCCAGCUUAACUGGGAGGGUGGCAUUGAUACUGCGGGGCUAGAGUACAGAUGAGGUAGGCGGAAUUGACGGUGUAGCGGUGAAAUGCUUAGAUAUCGUCAAGAACACCUAUAGCGAAGGCAGCUUACUAGGCUGUAACUGACGCUGAGGCACGAAAGUGUGGGGAUCAAACAGG